rnacentral:tRNA from 1 species
GCCUGGCUGGCUCAGUCAGUGGAGCGUGCAACUCUUGAUCUCAGGAUUGUGAGUUCAAGCCCCACGUUGGGUG